AAAUGUUUAAUCAUCCACAGUAUUGUUCCCAGCCACGCGGAUUGUACCAUAAAACAGGGCCGUUUUAUAGCCUCAAGCUGCUGGCCCGUCCGAUUGACGCACAUGUGUUCGAUUUAUGUUGCGGAAGAUGAGCCUGAUGGGUAAUAAUUUAUACGCGUAACAAAUAGUCAUGACCGGACCAUGACUUAAAGAUUCGGCGAAGAACUCACAUGGAGCACAUGCAGAAUAAAGUAGAAAUCAUUUUUGCUAUUUAA